GGGGAUGGAGUUUUAGCUCAGUGGUAGAGCAUCUGCUUUCCAUGUAGAAGGUUCCAGGUUCAAUCCCUGGCAUCCUCU